rnacentral:rRNA from 1 species
GCUUCUUUCCUCCCGAGUGCUUGCACUCAAUUGGAAAGAGGAGUGGCGGACGGGUGAGUAACACGUGGGUAACCUACCCAUCAGAGGGGGAUAACACUUGGAAACAGGUGCUAAUACCGCAUAACAGUUUAUGCCGCAUGGCAUAAGAGUGAAAGGCGCUUUCGGGUGUCGCUGAUGGAUGGACCCGCGGUGCAUUAGCUAGUUGGUGAGGUAACGGCUCACCAAGGCCACGAUGCAUAGCCGACCUGAGAGGGUGAUCGGCCACACUGGGACUGAGACACGGCCCAGACUCCUACGGGAGGCAGCAGUAGGGAAUCUUCGGCAAUGGACGAAAGUCUGACCGAGCAACGCCGCGUGAGUGAAGAAGGUUUUCGGAUCGUAAAACUCUGUUGUUAGAGAAGAACAAGGACGUUAGUAACUGAACGUCCCCUGACGGUAUCUAACCAGAAAGCCACGGCUAACUACGUGCCAGCAGCCGCGGUAAUACGUAGGUGGCAAGCGUUGUCCGGAUUUAUUGGGCGUAAAGCGAGCGCAGGCGGUUUCUUAAGUCUGAUGUGAAAGCCCCCGGCUCAACCGGGGAGGGUCAUUGGAAACUGGGAGACUUGAGUGCAGAAGAGGAGAGUGGAAUUCCAUGUGUAGCGGUGAAGUGCGUAGAUAUAUGGAGGAACACCAGUGGCGAAGGCGGCUCUCUGGUCUGUAACUGACGCUGAGGCUCGAAAGCGUGGGGAGCAAACA